GAGUGGCAACUUCCAAGCAUCUUACAAGCUGGACUAGAAUCUGGAAGUUCCCUUGGCUUAUUUCUUACCUUUGAGAAUAUUGGUUUUGAAAGGUCAGUAAAUUAACUUGAACAUAUUUAGCCAUAAUUUUCCUGUUUAUAAAAUACAGUCAGGUAUGUAGAAUGUUGUUUUAGUUUCCUAUUGCUGCUGUAACAAAUUACCACAAACUUCCUGACUUAAACUAACAGAAAUUUAUUCUCUUACAGAUGUGGAGACCAAAAGCCUGAAAUGAGUCUUUUGGGGCUAAAAUCAAGGUGUCAGCAAGAUUGGUUUCUUCUGAGGGCUCCAGGGAAGAAUACAUUCCUUGACUCUUCCAGUUUCUAGAGCCUGCUGAUGUUCCUUUGUUUCUGGCCACAUCACUCCAAUCUCUGCUUCAGUAAUCACAUGGCCUUCUUCCUUUCUGUAGUCAAGUCUUCUUCUACCUUUCUCUUACAAGGAUACUUGCAAUUGCAUUUAGGACCCACCUGGAUAAUCCAGGAAAAUCUCCCCAUCUCAAAAUUCUCAAUCAUAUCUGCAAAAUUCCUUUUGCCAUAUAAGGUAACAUUCACAGGUUCCAGGGAUUAGAACCUGGAUAUCUUUGGCGGCCAUUAUUCAGUCUACCACCAACGUGCUUAGAAAAGUAUCAUUUCCUCUUCUGAUUAUUAAAUGUACCUUGAGAAAUUUUUAUGAAUUGAUCGCACUAGGUUUCAUUGCAGGACAGAAUAAAUAUUAUUGGAGAAUUGUGCAAGAAUUUGCACAAUAACUUUGCAAGUGCUACAUAGGUAGCAGGAGGAAAUACCUUGUCAUUUUUUGACUGACCAAGAUGGUGGUUUAAAUUAAACUAAAGUCUCAAUUCUAAUAGCAACAACAAAAUAAACUGAUAGGCACAGAUUUUUAUAGAUGUUUGGUUAGGAGAAAUUUGUAUUUCUCCAGCUGGUUAAAAAAAAAAUGGUAGAGAGCUCCUAUACAUACAACCAGAAUAUAACUCAUCGACUGAAAAAAAAAAUGCACAACCUAAAAGUUGAGAGUUAUGUUUUAUUUGGCGGACUUUCUUAGGACUUCAAGCCCAGGAGACAGCCUCUCAGAUAACGCUGAGAAAACUCUUCCGAGGAAGAGGAGGGGGAAGCCAGAAUAUAUAGGAGUUUUUGCACCAGGGUUACUACGUUGACAGCUGAGGGGAUUGCUGUAUACACCAUGUGACUCCAGUGGCCUAAGACACUUGACAAAGUGAUAGUGUUCUUUAAUAGGUGGUUCCUGGCAAGGAGUGCAGCUUGCACAUGAAGUUCACCCAAGGACCCAGGUUCCUCAGGUGCGGCUGCAGUUCCAAGGUGACUGUUUCACAUUUGACCAGCAGGAAAUGGAGGAGAAGGCUGCAGUGACUGAGGCACGGAUGAACAUGUGAUCCCAGCCAGGCCAACCAGAGGCUUUCAUUUGGGAAUUCUGACUGAAAUUAGAGAAGAGAAUUUCUCUCUGAGUCUUGGUGAUCCGGGGAAAUAUUUGUGAAACCCUCAAAAUAUUCAUAAAGGAUUGGUUUUGUUCAUUCUGCAACAUUGUGAUUGAAAGAGCUUUGGAGUUAGACAGAUUUGGUCCUUGGUUCCCUGACCAGAGAUUGAACCUGGGCCCUUGGCAGUGAGAGUGUGAAGUCCUAACCACUGGACCACCACGGAAUUCCCAGAUUUCUAUUUUAAAAGCAUCCCUUGGGUACCAAGUACAUCAGACUGAUGCCCCAGCUCCCAGCUGAGACUUAAACUGUAAGUUUGGAAUAUUUAUAGAAUAUUUCUAUGAUCUAGAUUAUAAUGGUAACAUUAUAUUAUAAUCGAGAUUAUAUGUUAGGCUUCUUAUUUCAAGGAAAGAAUAUUACUAGCAAAUAAUUACUCUUUUAGUAAGUUUAAGAAAAAUAAUUUCUGCGGCAGAAAUUCUAGUUACUGACUAGUCCUUUGUUUUGUUUU